rnacentral:misc_RNA from 1 species
GAUGGAAGAACGUAGCGAAAUGCGAUAAGUAAUGUGAAUUGCAGAAUUCAGUGAAUCAUCGAAUCUUUGAACGCACAUUGCGCCCGCCAGUAUUCUGGCGGGCAUGCCUGUCCGAGCGUCAUUUCAACCCUCGAACCCCUCCGGGGGGUCGGCGUUGGGGAUCGGCCCUGCCUCUUGGCGGUGGCCGUCUCCGAAAUACAGUGGCGGUCUCGCCGCAGCCUCUCCUGCGCAGUAGUUUGCACACUCGCAUCGGGAGCGCGGCGCGUCCACAGCCGUUAAACACCCAACUUCUGAAAUGUUGACCUCGGAUCAGGUAGGAAUACCCGCUGAACUUAAGCAUAUCAAUAAGCGGAGGA